rnacentral:rRNA from 1 species
UACGGGGGGGGCAAGCGUUGUUCGGAAUUACUGGGCGUAAAGGGCUCGUAGGUGGCCAACUAAGUCAGACGUGAAAUCCCUCGGCUUAACCGGGGAACUGCGUCUGAUACUGGAUGGCUGGAGUAUGGGAGAGGAAUGCGGAAUUCCAGGUGUAGCGGUGAAAUGCGUAGAUAUCUGGAGGAACACCGGUGGUGUAGACGGCUUUCUGGACCGUAACUGACGCUGAAACACGAAAGCGUGGGUAGCAAACAGG